AUUGAACGCUGGCGGCAGGCCUAACACAUGCAAGUCGAACGAGUGGCGGACGGGUGAGUAAUGUCUGGGAAACUGCCUGAUGGAGGGGGAUAACUACUGGAAACGGUAGCUAAUACCGCAUAACAUCAGAUGUGCCCAGAUGGGAUUAGCUUGUUGGUGGGGUAACGGCUCACCAAGGCGACGAUCCCUAGCUGGUCUGAUAGGAUGCCGUGCGCCGCUGGAGCUGUGUAACAGACCAGGCUCGUUCGGGCGUGAGCAGGGGGGAAUAUGGCACAGUGGGCGCUAGCCUGCUGACUCGCUGCCGCGUGUGUGUAGCGGUCCAUCGGGUUGUAUAGUACUUACGGCUUGUCGGCGUUACCCUCUGAAGAUGCACCGGCUGACUCCGUGCUAGCAGCCGCGGUAAUUC
rnacentral:rRNA from 1 species